rnacentral:rRNA from 1 species
GCAGGCUUAACACAUGCAAGUCGAGGGGCAGCAUGUUUUUAGCUUGCUAAGGCCGAUGGCGACCGGCGCACGGGUGAGUAACGCGUAUCCAACCUGCCUUACACUCUUGGACAGCCUUCUGAAAGGGAGAUUAAUACAAGAUGUUAUCAUGAGUAAGCAUUUUCGCAUGAUUAAAGGUUUACCGGUGUAAGAUGGGGAUGCGUUCCAUUAGAUAGUAGGCGGGGUAACGGCCCACCUAGUCUUCGAUGGAUAGGGGUUCUGAGAGGAAGGUCCCCCACAUUGGAACUGAGACACGGUCCAAACUCCUACGGGAGGCAGCAGUGAGGAAUAUUGGUCAAUGGACGAGAGCCUGAACCAGCCAAGUAGCGUGAAGGAUGAAGGUUCUAUGGAUUGUAAACUUCUUUUAUACGGGAAUAAACGGAUCCACGUGUGGAUUUUUGCAUGUACCGUAUGAAUAAGGAUCGGCUAACUCCGUGCCAGCAGCCGCGGUAAUACGGAGGAUCCGAGCGUUAUCCGGAUUUAUUGGGUUUAAAGGGAGCGUAGAUGGGUUGUUAAGUCAGUUGUGAAAGUUUGCGGCUCAACCGUAAAAUUGCAAUUGAUACUGGCAGUCUUGAGUACAGUUGAGGUAGGCGGAAUUCGUGGUGUAGCGGUGAAAUGCUUAGAUAUCACGAAGAACUCCGAUUGCGAAGGCAGCUUACUAACCUGUAACUGACAUUGAUGCUCGAAAGUGUGGGUAUCAAACAGGAUUAGAUACCCUGGUAGUCCACACGGUAAACGAUGAAUACUCGCUGUAGGCGAUAUACAGUCUGCGGCCAAGCGAAAGCAUUAAGUAUUCCACCUGGGGAGUACGCCGGCAACGGUGAAACUCAAAGGAAUUGACGGGGGCCCGCACAAGCGGAGGAACAUGUGGUUUAAUUCGAUGAUACGCGAGGAACCUUACCCGGGCUUAAAUUGCAACCGAAUAUGGCGGAAACGCUAUAGCUAGCAAUAGCGGUUGUGAAGGUGCUGCAUGGUUGUCGUCAGCUCGUGCCGUGAGGUGUCGGCUUAAGUGCCAUAACGAGCGCAACCCUUGCCGAUAGUUACUAACAGGUCAUGCUGAGGACUCUGUCGGGACUGCCAUCGUAAGAUGUGAGGAAGGUGGGGAUGACGUCAAAUCAGCACGGCCCUUACGUCCGGGGCUACACACGUGUUACAAUGGGGGGUACAGAGGGCUGCUACCACGCAAGUGGAUGCCAAUCCCAAAAACCUCUCUCAGUUCGGAUUGAAGUCUGCAACCCGACUUCAUGAAGCUGGAUUCGCUAGUAAUCGCGCAUCAGCCACGGCGCGGUGAAUACGUUCUCGGGCCUUGUACACACCGCCCGUCAAGCCAUGGGAGCCGGGGGUACCUGAAGUGCAAGCCGCAAGGAGCGCCCUAGGGUAAAAC